rnacentral:tRNA from 1 species
GCCAUCAUAGCUCAGUAGGUAGAGCACUUCCAUGGUAAGGAAGGGGUCGUCGGUUCAAAUCCGAUUGAUGGCUCCA